rnacentral:lncRNA from 1 species
GAAUGAAGGUUAGCUCAUGAAUGGUAUGGGGCUGGUGUUUUGGAGUAUACUGGGGGUGGCAGCAGGGGCAACUAUUUGGGAGUUAAAAGGUCCUGGCGCUGGAUAUAGAGAUGGAUUGUGGCAAAGGACUACUAUGAGAAAAUAGAAAAGGAGGCAAGCUGUAAUUGUGUUUAUCAAUCCUUUUGAAUUUUGAAACUUCAAUUUCCACAAAAGAGCUGAUGGAUGGAUGUCAAGAAAAAUGUCGCUGGGGACUUAUUCCUUGUUGGAGUAAUUAACACGCCAGAAUCCUGCUAGGACAUCUCUGCCUGUGGAAGGAGGGCUGGAUGGCAUACUGGGAAUGGCUUUCUAGGAUGACUUCCUGUUGCUACAGACUACAAGAAGCAUUUCUGGCCUUGAUGUUGUCUGAAUGAAGAAGACAUAGGAGUUUCACCAAAGCUCCCUGAAACCAGAUGGAUCAUGGCAGAUGAUAGUGGCUACUCUAAACUUGACCAAGUAGCUUCCACAAUUGAAGUCCCAAGCUGGAGCCUACAGGAAUGAGGAAGCAGGAAGGGCCAGAGUGAAGUGGAAACUUUGAACUUGAAGUUGGAAGACACUGGUACUCAUCUCUUCUAUUUGCUAGCUGUAUGAUCUUGGGCAACUUAUUUAAUUUAUCUUCCUCCAGUUUACUCAUUGAUUAAAUGAAGGUAACAAUUUUAUCUCAUAGGGAUAUGGGGAUGAUCGAGAGAGAUAAUAAAAGUGAAAGUGUUUUGAAAAGCA